rnacentral:rRNA from 1 species
AUUGAACGCUGGCGGCAUGCCUAACACAUGCAAGUCGAGCGAGCGGCGGACGGGUGAGUAAUGUAUGGGAACCUGCCCGAUAGAGGGGGAUAACUACUGGAAACGGUGGCUAAUACCGCAUACUAUCGGAUGAGCCGAUAUGGGAUUAGCUAGUAGGUGGGGUAAAGGCUCACCUAGGCGACGAUCGCUAGCUGGUCUGAGAGGAUGAACAGCCACACUGGGACUGAGACACGGCCCAGACUCCUACGGGAGGCAGCAGUGGGGAAUAUUGCACAAUGGGCGAAAGCCUGAUGCAGCCAUGCCGCGUGUAUGAAGAAGGCCUUAGGGUUGUAAAGUACUUUCAGCGGGGAGGCGUUACCCGCAGAAGAAGCACCGGCUAACUCCGUGCCAGCAGCCGCGGUAAUUC